AACGAACGCUGGCGGCGUGGAUAAGACAUGCAAGUCGAACGGGAACUUCAGCUGUAGCAAUACAGUUGAAGUUUUAGUGGCGAACGGGUGCGUAACACGUGGGCAAUCUGCCGAGAAGUGGGGGAUAGCUCGCCGAAAGGCGAAUUAAUACCGCAUAUGAUCAGCUAAGACAUCUUAGCGACAUCAAAGCCGGGGCAACCUGGCGCUUUUUGAGGAGCCCGCGGCCUAUCAGCUAGUUGGUGAGGUAACGGCUCACCAAGGCUAUGACGGGUAGCUGGUCUGAGAGGACGACCAGUCACACUGGAACUGAGACACGGUCCAGACACCUACGGGUGGCAGCAGUCGAGAAUUUUUUCUCAAUGGGGCAACCCUGAAGGAGCGACGCCGCGU
rnacentral:rRNA from 1 species